UAAAGGAAAGAUAUCAGUAACAAUUUGAAUCUCUAAAUACUUUCUAACUAAAGGUUUUGUGUUCACUUGUAACUACUCUUAAAUAAUUUAAAAUGAUACUAAUUAAAAUGCAAUAUUUCCUUUUUAUCAGUGCUCUCGUUUCUCUCGCCGGAUCUGGAUCAGCAUCUGACCUCUUGGGUAACACUGGUACAAAUGCAGAUGUAAAACUUCCUGCAGGUAUAGAAAUUUCUGCUGAAUUGGGUCCAAAAUAUCCACCCCCUGCUGGUAGAACGAAUAAAUGAUACAACAGGACGAUUGAGAUAGAGCCAUACAAAGUACUAGAGUAAAUGGUAGCAAUCUAAUUUAUCCCAAUUCGUCAAUGGUCAUUCGUCAAUAUCAAUGUAAACCCUGAUUCCUUAUAACUUAUAGCGUUAUAACUUUACUAGCUCGAAAAAUAAACUGCCACCAUUUACUAUUCAA